rnacentral:lncRNA from 1 species
CCUUGCCUAGAUUUGGCUUAAAUAUAAAUAAACAAUGAAGAUUUCCUGGAAGAAAAAUCAUGAGAGAAGAUGGAAGAACCUGAGCACCCUCCAGCUAAGGCAAUUAUGAAUUUAGGAAAGCUGGUGUUGUUGAUUCGAUAUGUGAACACUUGGACUCUUUCAUGGCUGGAUCAAAAUUUUUCUCAGAAGAAUAGAUAGGUA